GAUUUGGUGAGCUGAAAAUAAAUAAUUCUACCUGUCGUUGCAGGAAAGAAGAAGAAGGUGGUUUGGCUCGUUUUGUAUGUAACGAGAGGGGGUUAGCAGGUGAAGCAAGAAAUUGUCAACAGUGUAGUAAUGAAUAGAAAAGAUUCUCCACUGCAAAGGGCUGGUCCAGCAAAAAAUCAAAAAAGGGUUUGGAAGCUCCAGUCCCUCUUUACCUCACCUGCUACAAACAGGUACUACUGCUUCAGUCAUUCACCAGAGGGACAAGCAGAGAACUUCCAGACAAGUAAAUCUGAGGAAGAAUUCUGGUGUCUGUGGAAAUGAACGACAAUCUGCCCCUAGCUGACCCUGAAAUAUGUGUGACCUCAGAGAAAUGACUGCUUUACUUCCACCGUGACUGAAAUGGAAGAAUACAACAGUGUUCUCAAGGAGAAUGCUUUGAGACAUUAUAGAAAACACAGUAAGAAGAUGAGUCCUAGCACAUUUGUACAAAUAUACCUGUUUGUGACUGUGUAAAUAAACACAACUUCAGCCUUACGGAUGAUUCUCUAGCUGAAACCUAAUCCUGGUCCUGUUCUUCUACUGACCAGCCCUUCUUCAAGCUGAUGGUGCUUUAGCCUAGCAAAGCAGACGUUAGCGGUGCAGGGUGAGAGAAAAACAGGAAAGCAUUGCCAAAUAUCAGCCCUAGAAAGCAGCAAGAUGAGCACAUACAGCAUUAAACUAGGAAUUAAGCUAUCUGGGUUUUGACUGUCAUUCAUAAACUAGGUGAUAUUGGGGUGAC